rnacentral:rRNA from 1 species
AUGGCGCGCUUGUUUCUUCCUCCCGUCCUGCUGGCCUUCUCCCUGGCCGCCGCUACCCUCAUCCUGAACGUCGGCGUCGCGGAGGCAUUUUCGUGGCAGCGGCAAGGGUGGCGCCACGUCUUCCGCGGCCGCUACGGCCGCCGCCACCGCAUCUCGUCGAUCGUGACGGAGACGAUGUUCUCGAGCAUGUUCCUGCACAAGGACAACGACGACUGCCCCGCCAAGGGAUUCUACACCUACUCCUCCUUCGUCAGCGCAGCGGAGUGGUUCCGGGAGUUCGGCAGCGGCGCCCACCACGUCGACUCGGACACGCGCAAGCGCGAGGUCGCCGCCUUCCUGGCGCAGAUCUCCCAUGAGACCACCGGCGGGUGGGCGACGGCGCCCGACGGGCCGUACUCGUGGGGCCUCUGCUUCAAGGAAGAGAUCAAUGCGUCCAGCAACUACUGCGACGCUGACAACAAGGAGUGGCCCUGCGUCCCCGGUAAAUCCUACCACGGCCGCGGACCCAUGCAACUCUCCUGGAACUACAACUACGGGCCGGCGGGGGAGGCGCUGUGCUUCGACGGGCCGGGGAACCCGGAGCUCGUGGCGAGCGAUCCGGUAUUGGCGUUCAAGGCGGCGCUGUGGUUCUGGAUGACGCCGCAGGAGCCCAAGCCGUCGUGCCACGACGUGAUGCUGGGGCGGUACGUGCCCACCGACGCCGACAGGCAGGCGAACCGAACGGCGGGGUUCGGGCUCACCACCAACAUCAUCAACGGCGGGCUCGAGUGCAACCUCCCUGCCGAUUCGAGGGUGAAGGAUAGGAUCGGGUACUACCGCCGGUACUGUGAGAUCCUCAAGGUCGACGACCUUGGGGACAACUUGGACUGCGCUCAACAGCUGCCCUACUCGUAA